UACGUAGGGAGCAAGCGUUGUCCGGAAUCAUUGGGCGUAAAGCGCGCGUAGGUGGCCUCAUAAGUCCGCUGUGAAAGUCAAAAGGCUCAACCUUUGAAAGCCGGUGGAUACUGUGAGGCUAGAGUACGGAAGAGGCGAGUGGAAUUCCUGGUGUAGCGGUGGAAUGCGCAGAUAUCAGGAGGAACACCAAUAGCGAAGGCAGCUCGCUGGGACGUUACUGACGCUGAGACGCGAAAGCGUGGGGAGCAAACAGG
rnacentral:rRNA from 1 species